AACGGGGGGGAACUAGCGUUAUUCGUCAUGGAUUGGGCGUAAAGGGUGAGUAGACGGUCUAAACAGGUUUAUGCUAAAGUUCAGGAGCGCUUUUUGAAGGGCAUAUUUACGUGUAGACUUGAAUCCAGAAUAAGAAAAACGGAACUCUCGGUGUAGAGGUAAAAUUCAGCGAUAUCGCAGAGGACCAACAAUUGGCGAAAGCGGUUU
rnacentral:rRNA from 1 species